rnacentral:lncRNA from 1 species
AUGUGCGACCAGAGCCCUGAGCGAGGUUAUCCUUCCCGUGGAAAACAGCCGGAGACGAGCAAGUUCCUUCGGAGCACAGAAAGGGCGGGAAGCCRGGCCGGCGGCCACUGUCUCGAGUUUGUACAGUAUAAACGUUGGGGUUUCUACGUCUGGCAUUCAAAAUCUUCCCAGAGCUCUUCUUUCCCUGCAGACGCGUGUCUCUCGGGUGGCUCGACACGCGCCGGCCUCUGGGCUCUGCCUCCUGCGCGCUUUCCCCGGGUGUUUUGCCCGGCCAGGGGCUUUCACAGGCAAGCAGCGACUCCCCUCGCCGAAGCGGGGCCAGGUGGCGCGGUGCCGUGGCCAUGCGAGCCACCGCGGCCUGCUCUGCCGGCCGGAGCCAGGCCGCCGCAGCGCUCCCCUCGCAGCGCCCCCCUCGCGGUGCCCCCGCUGCUGCUGGCGCGGGGAAGGGGGCUCGGCGGCAGAGUCGCGCUCCUCUCCGCUUUUCCCGCUUCAUCAAAACGAGCCCGACACCUCUUCUCCUCACGGACCCCUUCUACCUUUCAUGAGGUGAAAAACAGCCUUUGCCAAGCCGCGGUCUUCUCGCCGCCCUCGCAUCCCGGCUCRGCUGACUUUGGCACUUCUCCCUCGGUGCAGGGCCGAGCCGGGCGCCCCGACGUGCCGGGACACGGCUGCCGGAGGCUGAGCCCUCCUCGCGCCCCACACCGUGCCCUGCCGCCCGCCUGCCCAUCCRCGGGGCAGUGCGGGGCGCCCGAGGCGUGUGGCGCCGAGGGGAAGGCGUGCAGCGCGCCCGGCUCCUCGCUGCCGACCCCUCUGCGGUCUCCAGCCCUCGAGGAGACGUGGGGAGUGUGCGGGUCCGUCUCCUGCCCCGCCGGCGCUUGGGUGCCUCCGCCRCGGGCGGGGAGCAAGGGAGGCCGGGGCGCAAGACGGCCGAGCAGCGCGGGGCUCCGCGUGCCGCCUGGGCCGGGGAUCCCCCGGACGGUGAGCAGGUCGCUUCUCGCCUGCGGCCCCGGCCCGGCCCGGCCCAGCCCAGCCUGGCCCGCGUGGCACUGCGGCAGCCUGCCGAGGCCGCUGGCGCGGAUCUGGCGGAGGAACAGUCCGGUGCCUCCUGCCGACUCGUUAACUGUUGGGCGCUAA